rnacentral:misc_RNA from 1 species
GAUGAAGAACGCAGCGAAAUGCGAUAAGUAGUGUGAAUUGCAGAAUUCAGUGAAUCAUCGAAUCUUUGAACGCACAUUGCGCCUUCUAGUAUUCUGGGAGGCAUGCCUGUUUGAGCGUCAUUAAACCUCUCUCAAGUAUGAUUACUUGGAUGUGAAGGAAGAGUACCUUAAACUUAAGGAGUGUUCUCCUUUGAAAUUGAUUAGCAGAUGGUAAUGUUAUUAAAUCCCUGAUGUUGUAAGAAAUAACAGUGGUUUUGUAGACUAUUAUCUAGCUUUAAAUUAUAAUUUUUAUUAUGGUUGACCUCAAAUCAGGUAAGGAUACGCGCUGAACUUAAGCAUAUCAAUAAGCGGAGGA